GAUGAACGCUGGCGGCGUGCCUAAUACAUGCAAGUCGAGCGAACAGACGAGGAGCUUGCUCCUCUGACGUUAGCGGCGGACGGGUGAGUAACACGUGGAUAACCUACCUAUAAGACUGGGAUAACUUCGGGAAACCGGAGCUAAUACCGGAUAAUAUAUUGAACCGCAUGGUUCAAUAGUGAAAGACGGUUUUGCUUUCACUUAUAGAUGGAUCCGCGCCGCAUUAGCUAGUUGGUAAGGUAACGGCUUACCAAGGCAACGAUGCGUAGCCGACCUGAGAGGGUGAUCGGCCACAAUGGAACUGAGACACGGUCCAGACUCCUACGGGAGGCAGCAGUAGGGAAUCUUCCGCAAUGGGCGAAAGCCUGACGGAGCAACGCCGCGUGAGUGAUGAAGGUCUUCGGAUCGUAAAACUCUGUUAUUAGGGAAGAACAAAUGUGUAAGUAACUAUGCACGUCUUGACGGUACCUAAUCAGAAAGCCACGGCUAACUACGUG
rnacentral:rRNA from 1 species